rnacentral:rRNA from 1 species
CCCUUAGAGUUUGAUCCUGGCUCAGGAUGAACGCUAGCUACAGGCUUAACACAUGCAAGUCGAGGGGCAGCAUGGUCUUAGCUUGCUAAGGCUGAUGGCGACCGGCGCACGGGUGAGUAACACGUAUCCAACCUGCCGUCUACUCUUGGCCAGCCUUCUGAAAGGAAGAUUAAUCCAGGAUGGGAUCAUGAGUUCACAUGUCCGCAUGAUUAAAGGUAUUUUCCGGUAGACGAUGGGGAUGCGUUCCAUUAGAUAGUAGGCGGGGUAACGGCCCACCUAGUCAACGAUGGAUAGGGGUUCUGAGAGGAAGGUCCCCCACAUUGGAACUGAGACACGGUCCAAACUCCUACGGGAGGCAGCAGUGAGGAAUAUUGGUCAAUGGGCGAUGGCCUGAACCAGCCAAGUAGCGUGAAGGAUGACUGCCCUAUGGGUUGUAAACUUCUUUUAUAAAGGAAUAAAGUCGGGUAUGCAUACCC